CCAACAUGUAAGAUGUGCCUUUGCUCCUCUUUCACCUUCCGCCAUGAUUGUGAGGCCUCCUGAGCCAUGUGAAACUGUUUAGGAAUUAUGUAAAUUAUGGAUACCAUGCAUUAUAUUUUGUUAGUACGCAUAAUCUCAGUCUUUUGAUGGAGUGUUACCCAGGCUGGAGUGCCAUGGUGUGAUCUUGGCUCCCUGCAACCUCUGCCUCCUGAGUUCAAGUGAUUCUAGCGCCUCAGCCUCCCAAGUAGCUAGGAUUACAGGCACCCGCCACCAGACCCAGCUAAUUUUUGUAGUUUUUAGUAGAGCCAAUGGGGUUUCACCACGUUGGCCAGGCUGGUCUCAAACUCCUGACCUCAAAUGAUCUGCCCCCUUAGGCCUACCAAAGUGCUAGAAUUACAGCCAUGAAGCUCUGCACCCAGCCAAUACUAGCAUUUUGAUAAGAAAACUUAUAAUUUAUUUAGGAAUUCAAAGCAUAUAUAAGAACAGAAUAAUCUUGAAGGUCGAAAGAACAACUUUGAAGAACUUUAUCUUAUUUUCAAUUCAAUAUAAUGCCAUAGUAACGAAGACACAGUUACUAUUGGUAGUAUUGGUGCAAUAUUACAUAAAUGGAUCACUGGAAUUGAAUAAAGAGUCCAGAAAUAAAGCUUCAUAUUUAUAUCUAAUUGGUUUUCGACAAAGUUGUCAACUCAAUAAAGAAAGAAAAUUAUUUUUACCAUAUUUUACGGAAG
rnacentral:lncRNA from 1 species